ACACGAAUCCCCUGCGGAUCUUGUUAAAAUGCAGAUUUUGAUUCAGCAGAUCUGGUGGGGCCCAAGAGUGUGCAUUUCUAACAAGCUCCCAGGUGAUACCAAU
rnacentral:pre_miRNA from 1 species